UUUCAAUAGUCUAGUGGUUAU
rnacentral:piRNA from 1 species